rnacentral:misc_RNA from 1 species
AGCGCGUGAGUGGUGGUUGGUGUGUGUGGGCAUGUCGGAUCCCUGCUCGGGCAGCGACGGCAUCUCCCGCACGCCUCUUCAUUAGUGGGAACAAGUUCAGUUCGGCUUGUCCGUGUUCGGUUAUCCUGUGUUGCAUACCUAUUGCGAGGGCAUUCGGUUGGCUAAAAUGGUCCCAUCUCCGCCUUGUGCCGGCGCUCCAUGCGGGCGUGCRGUGCGGGGUGGAUCUCACGGCGUGCGUCGUGUUUCGCUCCGCAUUCACCUACAUUGGUGUUUGGGUAUGCGACACUCGACGUGCUGCCCGUUGUCUCGGGUGCGGAAUAUCGGGUGGGUACGAGGCAUCUGCCUCCGAUCGCCACAAAAAUGCGUUCUACGCUUUAUGCGAACGACUGCCGCACUCGGCCUUYGGCGGGGCACUCGCUGCUCUGUCGAAGCCGCGUCGGCGUCGGUGAGGGAUGCUACCUGGUUGAUCCUGCCAGUAGUCAUAUGCUUGUCUCAAAGAUUAAGCCAUGCAUGUGUAAGUA